GAUGAACGCUGGCGGCGUGCCUAAUACAUGCAAGUCGAGCGAACAGACGAGGAGCUUGCUCCUCUGACGUUAGCGGCGGACGGGUGAGUAACACGUGGAUAACCUCCCUAUAUGACUGGGAUAACUUCGGGAAACCGGAGCUAAUCCCGGAUAAUCUAUUGAACCGCAUGGUUCAAUAGUGAAAGACGGUUUUGCUGUCACUUAUAGCUGGAUCCGCGCCGCAUUAGCUAGUUGGUAAGGUAACGGCUUACCAAGGCAACGAUGCGUAGCCGACCUGAGAGGGUGAUCGGCCACACUGGAACUGAGACACGGUCCAGACUCCUACGGGAGGCAGCAGUAGGGAAUCUUCCGCAAUGGGCGAAAGCCUGACGGAGCAACGCCGCGUGAGUGAUGAAGGUCUUCGGAUCGUAAAACUCGGUUAUUAGGGAAGAACAAAUGUGUAAGUAACUAUGCACGUCUUGACGGUACCUAAUCAGAAAGCCACGGCUAACUACGUG
rnacentral:rRNA from 1 species